GAUGAACGCUGGCGGCGUGCCUAAUACAUGCAAGUCGAGCGAACAGACGAGGAGCUUGCUCCUCUGACGUUAGCGGCGGACGGGUGAGUAACACGUGGAUAACCUACCUAUAAGACUGGGAUAACUUCGGGAAACCGGAGCUAAUACCGGAUAAUAUAUUGAACCGCAUGGUUCAAUAGUGAAAGACGGUUUUGCUGUCACUUAUAGAUGGAUCCGCGCCGCAUUAGCUAGUUGGUAAGGUAACGGCUUACCAAGGCGACGAUGCGUGGCCGACCUGAGAGGGUGAUCGGCCACACUGGAACUGAGACACGGUCCAGACUCCUACGGGAGGCAGCAGUAGGGAAUCUUCCGCAAAGGGCGAAAGCCUGACGGAGCAACGCCGCGUGAGUGAUGAAGGUCUUCGGAUCGUAAAACUCUGUUAUUAGGGAAGAACAAAUGUGUAAGUAACUAUGCACGUCUUGACGGUACCUAAUCAGAAAGCCACGGCUAACUACGUG
rnacentral:rRNA from 1 species